rnacentral:rRNA from 1 species
GAACGAACGCUGGCGGCAGGCCUAAUACAUGCAAGUCGAACGCACCGCAAGGUGAGUGGCAGACGGGUGAGUAACGCGUGGGAACCUUCCUAGUAGUACGGAAUAACUCCGGGAAACCGGUGCUAAUACCGUAUAAGCCCUCCGGGGGAAAGAUUUAUCGCUACUAGAUGGGCCCGCGUCGGAUUAGCUUGUUGGUGAGGUAAUGGCUCACCAAGGCUUCGAUCCGUAGCUGGUCUGAGAGGAUGAUCAGCCACACUGGGACUGAGACACGGCCAGACUCUACGGGAGGCAGCAGUAGGGAAUAUUGGACAAUGGGCGAAAGCCUGAUCCAGCCAUGCCGCGUGAGUGAAGAAGGCCUUAGGGUUGUAAAGCUCUUUUGGCGGGAAGAUAAUGACGGUACCCGCAGAAUAAGCUCCGGCUAACUUCGUGCCAGCCGCCGCGGUAAC